rnacentral:rRNA from 1 species
AUUGAACGCUGGCGGCAGGCCUAACACAUGCAAGUCGAGCGGAGCCGCGGACGGGUGAGUAAUGCCUAGGAAUCUGCCUGGUAGUGGUGGAUAACGUCCGGAAACGGGCGCUAAUAUCUCAUACUUUCAGUUUAGCCUAGGUCGGAUUAGCUAGUUGGGGGGGGAAAGGCCUACAAAGGCGACGAUCCGUAACUGGUCUGAGAGGAUGAUCAGUCACACUGGAACUGAGACACGGCCCAGACUCCUACGGGAGGCAGCAGUGGGGAAUAUGGGACAAUGGGCGAAAGCCUGAUGCAGCCAUGCCGCGUGGGUGAAGAAGGUCUUCGGAUUGUAAAGUACGUUAAGUUGGGAGGCGUUACCAACAGAAUAAGCACCGGCUAACUUCGUGCCAGCCGCCGCGGUAAUAC